UUUACGGGAGGCAGCAGUGGGGAAUAUUGGACAAUGGGGGCAACCCUGAUCCAGCAAUGCCGCGUGUGUGAAGAAGGUCUUCGGAUUGUAAAGCACUUUCGACGGGGACGAUGAUGACGGUACCCGUAGAAGAAGCCCCGGCUAACUUCGUGCCAGCAGCCGCGGUAAUACGAAGGGGGCUAGCGUUGCUCGGAAUGACUGGGCGUAAAGGGCGUGUAGGCGGUUUGUACAGUCAGAUGUGAAAUCCCCGGGCUUAACCUGGGAGCUGCAUUUGAUACGUGCAGACUAGAGUGUGAGAGAGGGUUGUGGAAUUCCCAGUGUAGAGGUGAAAUUCGUAGAUAUUGGGAAGAACACCGGUGGCGAAGGCGGCAACCUGGCUCAUUACUGACGCUGAGGCGCGAAAGCGUGGGGAGCAAACAGGAUUAGAUACCCUGGUAGUCCACGCUGUAAACGAUGUGUGCUAGAUGUUGGGUGACUUAGUCAUUCAGUGUCGCAGUUAACGCGUUAAGCACACCGCCUGGGGAGUACGGCCGCAAGGUUGAAACUCAAAUGAAUAGACAGGGA
rnacentral:rRNA from 1 species